rnacentral:misc_RNA from 1 species
GAUGAAGAACGUAGCGAAAUGCGAUAAUUAAUGUGAAUUGCAGAAUUCCGUGAAUCAUCGAGUCUUUGAACGCACAUUGCGCCUCAUGGCAUUCCGUGAGGCAUGCCCAUCUCAGCGUUAGAAAAUAUUCUCAAAUUUUAGUUUUGUUCUAAAAUUUGGAUCAUGUCAAGGAAGCUAUUACUAUUAUUGUGAUCGCUCUUUGGAAAUUGAUAGGUCUUUGAGUUGCUACUCAUAGAACGUGAUGAAUCUUUCUUCGUUCUAUUGUAAUUCACUCUGGUAGUCCUAAAACUUGUAUGCCUGUGGCAUAUCUUGUAAUUUGACCUGAGAUUGGGUAGGGAUACCCACUGAACUUAAGCAUAUCAAUAAGCGGAGGA